GGUUAAGCGACUAAGCGUACACGGUGGAUGCCCUGGCAGUCAGAGGCGAUGAAGGACGUGCUAAUCUGCGAAAAGCGUCGGUAAGGUGAUAUGAACCGUUAUAACCGGCGAUGUCCGAAUGGGGAAACCCAGUGCAAUUCGUUGCACUAUCGUUAACUGAAUACAUAGGUUAACGAGGCGAACCGGGGGAACUGAAACAUCUAAGUACCCCGAGGAAAAGAAAUCAACCGAGAUUCCCCCAGUAGCGGCGAGCGAACGGGGAGCAGCCCAGAGUCUGAAUCAGCUUGUGUGUUAGUGGAACGGUCUGGAAAGUCCGACGGUACAGGGUGAUAGUCCCGUACACCAAAAUGCACAGGUUGUGAACUCGAAGAGUAGGGCGGGACACGUGGUAUCCUGUCUGAAUAUGGGGGGACCAUCCUCCAAGGCUAAAUACUCCUGACUGACCGAUAGUGAACCAGUACCGUGAGGGAAAGGCGAAAAGAACCCCGGCGAGGGGAGUGAAAAAGAACCUGAAACCGUGUACGUACAAGCAGUGGGAGCACCUUCGGGUGUGACUGCGUACCUUUUGUAUAAUGGGUCAGCGACUUAUAUUCUGUAGCAAGGUUAACCGUAUAGGGGAGCCGCAGGGAAACCGAGUCUUAACUGGGCGUUAAGUUGCAGGGUAUAGACCCGAAACCCGGUGAUCUAGCCAUGGGCAGGUUGAAGGUUGGGUAACACUAACUGGAGGACCGAACCGACUAAUGUUGAAAAAUUAGCGGAUGACUUGUGGCUGGGGGUGAAAGGCCAAUCAAACCGGGAGAUAGCUGGUUCUCCCCGAAAGCUAUUUAGGUAGCGCCUCGUGAACUCAUCUUCGGGGUAGAGCACUGUUUCGGCUAGGGGGUCAUCCCGACUUACCAACCCGAUGCAAACUACGAAUACCGAAGAAUGUUAUCACGGGAGACACACGGCGGGUGCUAACGUCCGUCGUGAAGAGGGAAACAACCCAGACCGCCAGCUAAGGUCCCAAAGUCAUGGUUAAGUGGGAAACGAUGUGGGAAGGCACAGACAGCCAGGAUGUUGGCUUAGAAGCAGCCAUCAUUUAAAGAAAGCGUAAUAGCUCACUGGUCGAGUCGGCCUGCGCGGAAGAUGUAACGGGGCUAAACCAUGCACCGAAGCUGCGGCAGCGACACUAUGUGUUGUUGGGUAGGGGAGCGUUCUGUAAGCCUGCGAAGGUGUGCUGUGAGGCAUGCUGGAGGUAUCAGAAGUGCGAAUGCUGACAUAAGUAACGAUAAAGCGGGUGAAAAGCCCGCUCGCCGGAAGACCAAGGGUUCCUGUCCAACGUUAAUCGGGGCAGGGUGAGUCGACCCCUAAGGCGAGGCCGAAAGGCGUAGUCGAUGGGAAACAGGUUAAUAUUCCUGUACUUGGUGUUACUGCGAAGGGGGGACGGAGAAGGCUAUGUUAGCCGGGCGACGGUUGUCCCGGUUUAAGCAUGUAGGCUGGUUAUCCAGGCAAAUCCGGAUAAUCAAGGCUGAGGUGUGAUGACGAGGCACUACGGUGCUGAAGUAACAAAUGCCCUGCUUCCAGGAAAAGCCUCUAAGCAUCAGGUAACAUCAAAUCGUACCCCAAACCGACACAGGUGGUCAGGUAGAGAAUACCAAGGCGCUUGAGAGAACUCGGGUGAAGGAACUAGGCAAAAUGGUGCCGUAACUUCGGGAGAAGGCACGCUGGUGUGUAGGUGAAGUCCCUGCGGAUGGAGCUGAGACCAGUCGAAGAUACCAGCUGGCUGCAACUGUUUAUUAAAAACACAGCACUGUGCAAACACGAAAGUGGACGUAUACGGUGUGACGCCUGCCCGGUGCCGGAAGGUUAAUUGAUGGGGUUAUCCGUAAGGAGAAGCUCUUGAUCGAAGCCCCGGUAAACGGCGGCCGUAACUAUAACGGUCCUAAGGUAGCGAAAUUCCUUGUCGGGUAAGUUCCGACCUGCACGAAUGGCGUAAUGAUGGCCAGGCUGUCUCCACCCGAGACUCAGUGAAAUUGAACUCGCUGUGAAGAUGCAGUGUACCCGCGGCAAGACGGAAAGACCCCGUGAACCUUUACUAUAGCUUGACACUGAACAUUGAGCCUUGAUGUGUAGGAUAGGUGGGAGGCUUUGAAGCGUGGACGCCAGUCUGCGUGGAGCCAACCUUGAAAUACCACCCUUUAAUGUUUGAUGUUCUAACGUUGGCCCCUGACCGGGGUUGCGGACAGUGUCUGGUGGGUAGUUUGACUGGGGCGGUCUCCUCCCAAAGCGUAACGGAGGAGCACGAAGGUUAGCUAAUCCUGGUCGGACAUCAGGAGGUUAGUGCAAUGGCAUAAGCUAGCUUGACUGCGAGCGUGACGGCGCGAGCAGGUGCGAAAGCAGGUCAUAGUGAUCCGGUGGUUCUGAAUGGAAGGGCCAUCGCUCAACGGAUAAAAGGUACUCCGGGGAUAACAGGCUGAUACCGCCCAAGAGUUCAUAUCGACGGCGGUGUUUGGCACCUCGAUGUCGGCUCAUCACAUCCUGGGGCUGAAGUAGGUCCCAAGGGUAUGGCUGUUCGCCAUUUAAAGUGGUACGCGAGCUGGGUUUAGAACGUCGUGAGACAGUUCGGUCCCUAUCUGCCGUGGGCGCUGGAGAAUUGAGGGGGGCUGCUCCUAGUACGAGAGGACCGGAGUGGACGCAUCACUGGUGUUCGGGUUGUCAUGCCAAUGGCACUGCCCGGUAGCUAAAUGCGGAAGAGAUAAGUGCUGAAAGCAUCUAAGCACGAAACUUGCCCCGAGAUGAGUUCUCCCUGAGACUAUAAGUCUCCUGAAGGAACGUUAAAGACGAUGACGUUGAUAGGCCGGGUGUGUAAGCGCAGCGAUGCGUUGAGCUAACCGGUACUAAUGAACCGUGAGGCUUAACCUU
rnacentral:rRNA from 1 species